rnacentral:rRNA from 1 species
GACAGAGGUGCCGAGCGUUAGGCGGAAUCACUGGGCUUAAAGCGUGUGUAGGCGGAUCUGUAAGUACCUUGUGAAAUCCCACGGCUUAACCGUGGAACUGCUUGGUAUACUGCUUAUCUUGAGCCACUUAGGGGCAGUCGGAACAGACGGUGGAGCGGUGAAAUGCGCAGAUAUCAGGAGGAACACCGGUGGCGAAGGCGGGUCUCUGGGCCGAUACUGACGCUGAGGAGCGAAAGCGUGGGGAGCGAACAGG